rnacentral:rRNA from 1 species
UAAACUACGAUUAGAUACCCUAUUAUUUUAAAUGUGAAGUGUUUACACUUGAGUAGUAAAAGUUAUGGUCUUGAAACUCAAAGAAUUUGGCGGUGUUUUAGUCUUUUCAGAGGAACCUGUCCCAUAAUCGAUAUUCCACGAUAGACCUCACUUAAUCUAGUUAUCAGUUUAUAUAUCGCCGUCGUCAGAGUGUCUUACAAGAGUUUUAACAUUCUUUAAUCUAAAUUAUUUGUAGAAAGAUGUCAGGUCAAGGUGUAGCUAAUGGUUA